rnacentral:rRNA from 1 species
ACGAACGCUGGCGGCGUGCCUAAUACAUGCAAGUCGAACGGUCUUUCUAUGGAAGCUUGCUUCCACUGAGAAGAUAGUGGCGAACGGGUGAGUAACACGUGGGUAACCUGCCCAUAAGAGGGGGAUAACAUCCGGAAACGGGUGCUAAUACCGCAUAGUUUUCUUGAUCGCAUGAUCGGGAAAGGAAAGACGGCCUUUGUGCUGUCGCUUAUGGAUGGACCCGCGGCGUAUUAGUUAGUUGGUGAGGUAAUGGCUCACCAAGACGAUGAUACGUAGCCGACCUGAGAGGGUGAUCGGCCACAUUGGGACUGAGACACGGCCCAAACUCCUACGGGAGGCAGCAGUAGGGAAUCUUCCGCAAUGGACGAAAGUCUGACGGAGCAACGCCGCGUGAGUGAAGAAAGGGUUUUCGGAUCGUAAAACUCUGUUGUCAGAGAAGAACAAGUUGGAGAGUAACUGCUCCAGCCUUGACGGUAUCUGACCAGAAAGCCACGGCUAACUACGUGCCAGCCGCUGC